UACGAAGGGGGCUAGCGUUGUUCGGAAUUACUGGGCGUAAAGCGUGCGCAGGCGGCUUCUCAAGUCAGGGGUGAAAGCCCAGAGCUCAACUCUGGAAUUGCCUUUGAGACUGAGUGGCUUGAGUACGAGAGAGGUGAGUGGAAUUCCCAGUGUAGAGGUGAAAUUCGUAGAUAUUGGGAAGAACACCCGUGGCGAAGGCGGCCAACUGGGAUACACCUGACGCUGAGGCACGAAGGCGUGGGGAGCGAACGGG
rnacentral:rRNA from 1 species